UUUAUUUAUUCAGAGUGUUAAACAUCUAUAGUCAGUGAGUUAUCAAUUUAUUUAUUCAGAGUGUUAAACAUCUAUUAUCAGUGAGUUAUCAAUUUAUUUAUUCAGAGUGUUAAACAUCUAUAGUCAGUGAGUUAUCAAUUUAUUUAUUCAGAGUGUUAAACAUCUAUAGUCAUUGAGUUAUCAAUUUAUUUAUUCAGAGUGUUAAACAUCUAUUAUCAGUGAGUUAUCAAUUUAUUUAUUCAGAGUGUUAAACAUCUAUAGUCAUUGAGUUAUCAAUUUAUUUAUUCAGAGUGUUAAACAUCUAUAGUCAUUGAGUUAUCAAUGUAUUUAUUCAGAGUGUUAAACAUCUAUAGUCAGUGAGUUAUCAAUUUAUUUAUUCAGAGUGUUAAACAUCUAUAGUCAUUGAGUUAUCAAUGUAUUUAUUCAGAGUGUUAAACAUCUAUAGUCAUUGAGUUAUCAAUGUAUUUAUUCAGAGUGUUAAACAUCUAUAGUCAUUGAGUUAUCAAUUUAUUUAUUCAGAGUGUUAAACAUCUAUAGUCAGUGAGUUAUCAAUGUAUUUAUUCAGAGUGUUAAACAUCUAUAGUCAUUGAGUUAUCAAUGUAUUUAUUCAGAGUGUUAAACAUCUAUAGUCAUUGAGUUAUCAAUGUAUUUAUUCAGAGUGUUAAACAUCUAUAGUCAGUGAGUUAUCAAUUUAUUUAUUCAGAGUGUUAAACAUCUAUAGUCAUUGAGUUAUCAAUUUAUUUAUUCAGAGUGUUAAACAUCUAUAGUCAUUGAGUUGUUAUCAAUCAGUCAUACGAUCAUUCAACCUCCCCAGCCCACUUCCCUCUGAAACGUGACACAGGAGUUACACAUGACUGUGAUUAGUGUAGAAAGGGGAAGGUUCUGGGUUUAAGAGAUUGAUCAAGGUUUAAAGAGAAUUCUGCAGGUUAGAGAAUGUGGAUUAGGGAUAGGUGAGUGAGAGAGAGCCAGGGAGUGUGUGUGUGUGAGAGCCAGGGAGUGUGUGUGUGUGAGAGCCAGGGAGUGUGUGUGUGUGUGAGAGUCAGGGAGCCCGAGAAAGGGAGGGUUAAGUCUGUUGGUGGGUUUGAGUGCAGGGAAAGGAUAAAACAAUUAUCUCAUGAUGCAACAGUAGUUCAGGUGAGAGUGUGUGUGUGUGUGUGUAGG